rnacentral:pre_miRNA from 1 species
GAAGUACUCCCUCCAUCCGGAAUUACUUGUCAUCAAAAUGGAUGUGUCUAGAACUAAAAUACAUCUAGAUACAUCCAUCUCAAUGACAAGUAUUUCUGGACGGAGGGAGUACAAG